GACGAACCGUGCGAACGUUGUUCGGAAUCACUGGGCUUAAAGGGCGCGUAGGCGGGUGACCAAGUCAGGGGUGAAAUCUUUCGGCCCAACCGGAAAAGUGCCUCUGAUACUGGUCGUCUCGAGGGAGGUAGGGGUCGAGGGAACUGGUGGUGGAGCGGUGAAAUGCGUAGAUAUCACUAGGAACGCCGGUGGCGAAAGCGCUCGACUGGACCUCUUCUGACGCUGAGGCGCGAAAGCCAGGGGAGCAAACGGG
rnacentral:rRNA from 1 species